rnacentral:rRNA from 1 species
AAAUUUUAUUUCUAGUGAUUGGAAUGAUGGGAAUUUAAACCCCUUUCAGAGUAACAAUUGGAGGGCAAGUCUGGUGCCAGCAGCCGCGGUAAUUCCAGCUCCAAUAGCGUAUAUUAAAGUUGUUGCAGUUAAAAAGCUCGUAGUUGGAUGUCUGCUGGAAGCAAUCAGUCCGCCCUAUUUGUAGGGUGUGCACAUGAUGAAUUCUGGCAUCUAUGUCCCAAUAAUAUAACGGAAGCUAUUGGACGAAAGUUCAAUAGUAUAUUUCCGAUUAUUGGGAUACUGUUACUUUGA